UCCCUGGUGGCUUAGAUGGUAAAGAAUCUGCCUGUAACUCAGGAGACCCCGGUUCAAUCUCUGGGUCAGGAAU
rnacentral:tRNA from 1 species